AUCACCGAGGAGGGUGUUGGCCUGACUUGUGGGCAAAGAUUUUGAGUCAGGUGCAAAAACUUAAUUCUCUUUUGUAACCCAGAAUUCAUUGUUCUGUAUGAGUUCUGAUACAGAUGAAAAGCAACAUG